rnacentral:rRNA from 1 species
UACCAGCACCCCGAGUGGUCGGGACGAUUAUUGGGCCUAAAGCAUCCGUAGCCGGUCCUGCAAGUCUUCCGUUAAAUCCAGCUGCUCAACAGAUGGGCUGCGGGGGAUACUACAUGGCUAGGAGGCGGGAGAGGCAAGCGGUACUUUAUGGGUAGGGGUAAAAUCCGUUGAUCCAUAGAAGACCACCAGUGGCGAAGGCGGCUUGCCAGAACGCGCUCGACGGGUGAGGG